GACGGAGGGUGCUAGCGUUGUUCGGAAUUACUGGGCGUAAAGGCGCGUAGGCGGCCUGGUCAGUCGGAUAUGAAAGCCCGGGGCUCAACCCCGGAACGGCAUCCGAGACGGCCAGGCUGGAGACCGGGAGAGGAGAGUGGAAUAGCCAGUGUAGAGGUGAAAUUCGUAGAUAUUGGCUGGAACACCGGUGGCGAAAGCGGCUCUCUGGCCCGGUUCUGACGCUGAGGCGCGAAAGCGUGGGGAGCAAACAGG
rnacentral:rRNA from 1 species